UACGUAGGGUGCAAGCGUUGUCCGGAAUUAUUGGGCGUAAAGAGCUCGUAGGCGGUCUGUCGCGUCUGCUGUGAAAACUCAGGGCUUAACCCUGAGCUUGCAGUGGGUACGGGCAGACUAGAGUGCGGUAGGGGGAGACUGGAAUUCCUGGUGUAGCGGUGAAAUGCGCAGAUAUCAGGAGGAACACCAGUGGCGAAGGCGGCCCGCUGGGCGAGUGGCUGACGCUGGAGGCGCGACAGCGUGGGGAGCAAACAGG
rnacentral:rRNA from 1 species